rnacentral:rRNA from 1 species
UACGGAGGGUGCGAGCGUUGUCCGGAAUCACUGGGCGUAAAGGGCGCGUAGGUGGCCUGUGGAAGUCUGCGGUGAAAGCCCGGCGCUCAACGCCGGGUCGGCCGUGGAUACUCUCGGGCUUGAGCUUACUAGAGGCAGAUGGAAUUCCGGGUGUAGCGGUGGAAUGCGUAGAUAUUCGGAAGAACACCAGUGGCGAAGGCGACUCACUGGACACAUAUUGACGCUGAGGUGCGAAAGCGUGGGGAGCAAACAGG